rnacentral:rRNA from 1 species
UGAGGAAUCUUGCGCCAUGGGGGAAACCCUGACGCCGCAACGCCGCGUGAGUGAGGAAGGCCUUCGGGUCGUAAAGCUCUGUCAGAUGGGAAGAAAUGGGUGGGGGCUAAUAUCGUCCAUCCUUGACGGUACCAUCAGAGGAAGCACCGGCUAACUCCGUGCCAGCAGCCGCGGGAAUACGGGGGGUGCAAGCGUUGUUCGGAAUGAUUGGGCGUAAAGCGCGCGCAGGCGGCUUGGUAAGUCAGAUGUGACAUCCCUGGGCUUAACCCAGGAAGUGCAUUUGAUACUGCCUCGCUAGAGUACGGGAGAGGAAAGUGGAAUUCCUGGUGUAGAGGUGAAAUUCGUAGAUAUCAGGAGGAACACCGGUGGCGAAGGCGACUUUCUGGCCCGAUACUGACGCUCAGGCGCGAAAGCGUGGGGAGCAAACAG